GAGGGUACAGCUCAGUGGUAGAGCACGUGCGUAGCAUGCACGAGGUCCUGGGUUCAAGCCUCACUACCGCCA
rnacentral:tRNA from 1 species